CAGAGGAACCUGUUCUAUAAUCGAUAAUCCACGAUGGACCUUACUUAAAUUUGUUAAUCAGUUUAUAUACCGUCGUUAUUAGAAUAUUUUAUAAGAAUAAUAAUUUUCAUAAAAUUUUAUUAAAACAUAUAUCAGAUCAAGGUGUAGCUUAUAUUUAAGUAGAAAUGGGUUACAAUAAAUUUAUUUAUACGGAAAUAAAUAUGAAAAAUUUAUUGAAGGUGGAUUUGAUAGUAAAAUUAUAAAGAUUAAUAAUUUGAUUUUAGCUCUAAAAUAUGU
rnacentral:rRNA from 1 species